rnacentral:tRNA from 1 species
CCCUGGUGGCUCAGAUGGUAAAGAAUCUGCCUGCAACGCAGGAGGUCUGGGUUCGAUCCCUGGAUCAGGAA